GGGAAGGCAAGGAAGUUGGGGGUUUGGUUUUCUUUUGCUGGAGGAGAUAACUGGUGGGUAAUCUGGGUGUUGAAUUUUUUGUGGAUGUGGAGAUGAUAAAGUGUAAAGCUAAGGUUGGGGUUUCUUUGGUUGGAGGGGAAGAAGAUAUUCUGGGUCUGUAAAAUAGGGAGGUGGGUUGGUGGGGUUUUGGUUGAGAUGGUAGCUUUGACAGAUUGAGGAAGGGG
rnacentral:lncRNA from 1 species